rnacentral:rRNA from 1 species
AACGAACGCUGGCGGCAUGCCUAACACAUGCAAGUCGAACGAGACCUUCGGGUCUAGUGGCGCACGGGUGCGUAACGCGUGGGAACCUGCCUUUAGGUUCGGAAUAACUCAGGGAAAUUUGAGCUAAUACCGGACGAUGUCUUCGGACCAAAGAUUUAUCGCCUUUAGAUGGGCCCGCGUUGGAUUAGCUAGUUGGUGGGGUAAAGGCCUACCAAGGCGACGAUCCAUAGCUGGUCUGAGAGGAUGAUCAGCCACACUGGGACUGAGACACGGCCCAGACUCCUACGGGAGGCAGCAGUGGGGAAUAUUGGACAAUGGGCGAAAGCCUGAUCCAGCAAUGCCGCGUGAGUGAUGAAGGCCUUAGGGUUGUAAAGCUCUUUUACCCGAGAUGAUAAUGACAGUAUCGGGAGAAUAAGCUCCGGCUAACUCCGUG